rnacentral:rRNA from 1 species
AUUGAACGCUGGCGGCAGGCCUAACACAUGCAAGUCGAACGAGUGGCGGACGGGUGAGUAAUGUCUGGGAAACUGCCUGAUGGAGGGGGAUAACUACUGGAAACGGUAGCUAAUACCGCAUACCAUCAGAUGUGCCCAGAUGGGAUUAGCUAGUUGGUGGGGUAACGGCUCACCAAGGCGACGAUCCCUAGCUGGUCUGAGCGGCUGACAGUCAACACUGGAACGGAGACACGGUCCAGACUACUACGGGAGGCAGCAGUGGGGAAUAUGGCACAAUGGGCGAAAGCCUGAUGCAGCAAUGCCGCGUGUAUGAAGAAGGCCUUCGGGUGGUAAAGUACUUUCAGCGGGGAGGCGUUACCCGCAGAAGAAGCACCGGCUAACUACGUGCCAGCAGCCGCGGUAAUAC